GGGGGUUCGGGGGCUUGGAGGCGGACCAGGCGGAGGCGGAGCCUGGGGGCGGGUUCUAAUGCUUCUUCAGUCUCGCCCCCAGCUCCCUGUCCCCCUCCCCGAUCUCCCAUCAGUGGAGCAGUGGAAAUGUCUGGUCUGAGCAGGGCAGACCCCCGCGUGACCCCUCACUCUCCUGCUUCUCCUUUCCUCCCCAGCUCUCCCUUCUGUGGCCUCUGCUCUGCCCCAGGAGGACAGCCUGGAGGAGGAGGGAAUGGCUCCUGCCCACACAGCCAGGCCCGGGAAGAUAGAAGAAGGAGAAGAAGAGAUUGUACAGGGCACCAGCAAGAGGAGUUAGGAACAUAUAUGAGGCCUUGUUCCCAUAGACAGAUGGGCAGAGAAUGUGGCACAAGUGAUUGAUCAUGAAGAUAAUGGGAGACAAAUGCUAAGCUGACAUGAUAAAGGAAUUGGAGGCAGUGGGAGAAAUGUUCAUGCCAUACAGCUCCUUUGACAUGGACCUGCAUUGAUGAACCACUCAAAUUUCAAAUGAUAAGAGUUAAUUGGGAAUGGUGUUCUAACCCACUCCUCUGUGGAACCUUGGACAAGUUACCUCACCUGUCUGACCUCUUCAUCUGUAAAACAAAAGACCUUUAUUACUUCAUCUAUAAAGAUCUCUCAUUGGAAGCACAGUCCCUGAUGAAGCCCAGGACAGUGGAGUUAAACUCUCCCAUUCCCACAAUAGCAACAAGGGCUGUUGUGAGCAAAGGAGAUAUUAUACAGCAGACCUGGAGCAGUUUCAGUUAAGUUUCGUCCCACGUGGACUGAUUUGGGACCCAUUUAGGGACUUUUUGGAGCAUGGAGAAUAUUUAAAAAACAAAAAACCAGCAUUGGUGAGAAACUCCUGACAUCCCAGGGAACCUCCCUUUUGAUUGUUUUAAAUUUCCUUACCUGCUGAUUGUACCUGGUUUUAACUUUUUUUGGACUUCAUUUUGCUAAGCAUGGAGUGUUACUUAACUCUGCCUUAUUUCAAAAUUCUGUAAAAUGAGGAUAAUAAGACCACCUACCUUUCAAGGUUGUUGUGAGCAUAAAAUGAGAUGACUACAACACUAUAUAAAUGCUGGCUGUAUUUUUUUUAGAUGUAAAUUUAUUGAUUUUUAAGUUUCAACAUUCACUUCCACAAGUUUUUGAAUUCCAAAUUUUGACCCCAUCUCACCCCCCCACCCCAAGAUGGCAUGUAUUCUGAAUAUCCCUUCCCCUAGUCUGUCCUCUCUUCCAUCUCUCCCCCUUUCUCUUAUCCCCUUCCCCUUCUGUUUUCCUGUAGGGCAGGACAGACUUCUCUACCCCAUUUCCUGUAUUUCUUAUUUCCCAGUAGCAUGGGAAAACAUUUUUUUAAACAUAUGUUUUUAAAACUAGGUUUCAA
rnacentral:lncRNA from 1 species